rnacentral:tRNA from 1 species
CAGGGAGACAACAAAAUGUUUAAUAUUAUUAUUUUGUCACCUUAGGUCGAUCGGUAUCUCACGUUCUUAAUUUAUUAAGAAUUUCAUUUCCUAAGUUUUUCUAGGUCACACCCAUUAUUUUUCCUGGGCCAUUAGCUCAGGUGGUUAGAGCGCACCCCUGAUAAGGGUGAGGUCCCUGGUUCAAGUCCAGGAUGGCCCAUAUCUCUAUGUUGGGGGUAUAGCUCAGUUGGUAGAGCGCCUGCUUUGCAAGCAGGAUGUCAGCGGUUCGAGUCCGCUUACCUCCACUGAUUACCACCUCUUCCAUAAUUUGAAGAAAGGAAAUUUUUUGAGUUGUGAUCAAAUUCUGAACGAAUCUAGCUUCCUAAUGAAUCCAUUAAGAUGCUGGACUCAUUGAAUUAAUUUUCAUUGUUUUCAGAGAACCUUGACAACUGCAUAGAUUAUUUUUAAAGACAAUAAGCAUCUUUAAUGAUGCAGAUUUAUUAUUUGUGCGAACGCAUUAAUAACAAUUCUAUUAAGCUGAUGCUUCAAUUUAAUGAAGUUAUU